UUGCCACGGGCGGCCCUAUACUCUAAGUACUCGGCCCUAAUUGAUGGGUACCUAUCCCAGAGGAACCCGACAAUGUCACUACUACUUUCACUGUGAGUUCUGUGACGCAGCUCGCAAGUGAGCAACGGAUCGGAAAGCAAGUCCGCGCACGACCGAGUCGUGAGCGAGAAUGUCUGAGGUUAGGCGAGCUGCACACUACUAUAUGAUAAAGGUCCCACUCAUUAACAAUUGCAAAUAAUUUUAAUUCAAUAUUUGCUCUACUAUGGGUAUCUUAAAAAAUUGAGCAUUGCAUUACCAAUAGUUUUAAUUCAAUUUUGCACGUGAGGUUCAUAAGUCAGUGGUUAGGCACACUUUAAUGUGAUUAAGCGAUCUAAGGUUAUUUAGUUCUUCUUGAAUUAUUUCUAUGGUGCUCUCGUAUAGAGCCGGAAUCAUUAUGUUAGAAAUUGCUUUACGGCUAGGUAAUGAGUACCCCGGUAUCUAACUUGCAAAACUUUUUGAACGCUUUCUCUUUUACCAAUGAGAAUGGUUGACAUCCGUCAAUGAAUAAAUUUAAUGAGUCGCGAUUAAUUUUUUUUUUCUGAUCAGCUGUUCUCUUUCGUGCUGCACCACACCUUUCCAUUCUUUGUUGUUGAGGCGCAGCUGGCGGUACCAAUUUCAAUUCAAUUUCAACAAAUUUUCACGAUUGACUUCUACGGUGAAGGAAUAAAAAUCAAAUCGUGUAAUAAAAAUCAAACUCGCAAAAUUGUAAUUUACGUAAUAACUGGACCUCUUGCGAGUCCUCCAUGCCCGAGUCAGAGUCGGAGCACGAGGAGGCGGGCGCAGGCGACCUUAGAGGGCGUGACGGAGGCCGCGGAUGAUCGCUCAGCUGAAACGGUGGCCACGGUGGACAACGCAGCAGCUUUACUCGCCAGUGUAGGCGACACGGGAGCGGCAGGCACGACGGAGGCUGCGGUGCUCGAUGCAGAAGCUUUGCACGCAGAUAAGUUGGUUGCACUGUACGAUGAUGGUAGAAUGGCGGCGUCGCUUUGUUGACAAUAGCGUCUCGCGAGUGAAAGUACUCUUCCGCACGCAGCUCGUGUUUAUUAUAUCGUAAGUAUCGUAGUAGUUCGCUCUCUAUCUUCGCGUACAUGUCGACCAUGAAUUGUUGACAAAGCUUACGACAUCGUAGGACGUUGUACAGGCCGUGUCUAAUCAUCAGUCGAUACGCAUAAUAAUUCUUCGAGCUCACGUUCUUGUUUGUUUCGACUUCUGUAAUAAUAUAAUAUGAAUUUAAAACUAAUUCCAUUUAAUAAUUGAAUUGUUUUGUUAAAUGAGUAAUAAUUAAGUUCAUAAAAUUGCUGAACGCUGAAAGCUGAAUAAGUUCUGAAUGAAUUACCUGAUACGUGAUCUCGUUGUUUAAUAUUUAUGUAAUAUCCGUCUUGUCCCUUCCAGAACAUUAGCGGAUAUUGGAGAGCGUCACAUGAACGGUGUGUAUCGGCAAUAAAUUGAAGAUUAUUAUUUCUUCUGCCAAUCACAAUUUCUCGUGCAUCUGUACGAUCGCCAACCAUGAUUCCAGCAACAUCGUCAACAACAGGUGCAUUGAAUCUACGAAUGUGCUCUCCAGCUGGUGAUCAGGAAUUGUGUGGCAAUUGACAAUUGCGUGAUUAUCGCUUUUCAAUUUGUGCAUGUGUGAUUUGAAUACAUUGUGCUCAUUCAAUAGAACGUUCAGCUCGCCGACGAUGCGUCUGGCAAAAAAUAAUCAAGGCUUUUUUAGUCACAACGUGUAUUCACGCGAUUGGCGACCGAUCCACAACCAACGAGAACCAAACACCCCUUCCCAAUCGAUCGACACCUGUCCACUAACUAUUCUUAGAAAUAGUACUAAUAAAUUAAAACAAAACCAACAAACAA